rnacentral:rRNA from 1 species
UACGAAGGGGGCUAGCGUUGCUCGGAAUCACUGGGCGUAAAGCGCACGUAGGCGGACUCUUAAGUCGGUGGUGAAAUCCUGGAGCUCAACUCCAGAACUGCCUUUGAUACUGGUAGUCUCGAGUCCGGAAGAGGUGAGUGGAAUUCCGAGUGUAGAGGUGAAAUUCGUAGAUAUUCGGAGGAACACCAGUGGCGAAGGCGGCUCACUGGUCCGGUACUGACGCUGAGGUGCGAAAAGCGUGGGGGAGCAAACAGG